GAUGAAGAACGUAGCGAAAUGCGAUAAGUAGUGUGAAUUGCAGAAUUCAGUGAAUCAUCGAAUCUUUGAACGCACAUUGCGCCCGCCAGCACUCUGGUGGGCAUGCCUGUUCGAGCGUCAUUUCAACCAUCAAGCCCCCAGGGGCUUGUGCUGGGGCCCUGCGGCUGCCCGCAGGCCCUGAAAACCAGUGGCGGGCUCGCUAGUCACACCGAGCGCAGUAGCACAUCUCGCUCAGGGCGUGCGGCGGGCUCCUGCCGUGAAACCCCCCACUGUAACCCCAAAGGUUGACCUCGGAUCAGGUAGGAAUACCCGCUGAACUUAAGCAUAUCAAUAAGCGGAGGA
rnacentral:misc_RNA from 1 species